rnacentral:rRNA from 1 species
UACAGAGGUCUCAAGCGUUGUUCGGAUUCAUUGGGCGUAAAGGGUGCGUAGGUGGCGCUGUAAGUCGGGUGUGAAAUUUCGGAGCUUAACUCCGAAACUGCAUUCGAUACUGCGGUGCUUGAGGACUGGAGAGGAGACUGGAAUUCAUGGUGUAGCAGUGAAAUGCGUAGAGAUCAUGAGGAAGACCAGUGGCGAAGGCAGGUCUCUGGACAAGUUCCUGACACUGAGGCACGAAGGCCAGGGGAGCAAACGGG